rnacentral:rRNA from 1 species
ACGCGUGGAACCUUACCAGGUCUUGACAUCCUUCGCUACUUCUAGAGAUAGAAGGUUCCCCUUCGGGGGACGAAGUGACAGGUGGUGCAUGGUUGUCGUCAGCUCGUGUCGUGAGAUGUUGGGUUAAGUCCCGCAACGAGCGCAACCCUUGAUCUUAGUUGCCAGCAUUCAGUUGGGCACUCUAAGGUGACUGCCGGUGACAAACCGGAGGAAGGUGGGGAUGACGUCAAAUCAUCAUGCCCCUUAUGACCUGGGCUACACACGUGCUACAAUGGACGGUACAAACGGUUGCCAACCCGCGAGGGGGAGCUAAUCCGGUAAAACCGUUCUCAGUUCGGAUUGUAGGCUGCAACUCGCCUACAUGAAGCCGGAAUCGCUAGUAAUCGCGGAUCAGCAUGCCGCGGUGAAUACGUUCCCGGGCCUUGCACUCACCGCCCGU